CCUUUAGAGUUUGGAUCCUGGCUCAGGACGAACGCUGGCGGCGUGCUUAACACAUGCAAGUCGAACGAUGAAGCCUUUCGGGGUGGAUUAGUGGCGAACGGGUGAGUAACACGUGGGCAAUCUGCCCUUCACUCUGGGACAAGCCCUGGAAACGGGGUCUAAUACCGGAUAACACUCUGUCCCGCAUGGGACGGGGUUAAAAGCUCCGGCGGUGAAGGAUGAGCCCGCGGCCUAUCAGCUUGUUGGUGGGGUGAUGGCCUACCAAGGCGACGACGGGUAGCCGGCCUGAGAGGGCGACCGGCCACACUGGGACUGAGACACGGCCCAGACUCCUACGGGAGGCAGCAGUGGGGAAUAUUGCACAAUGGGCGAAAGCCUGAUGCAGCGACGCCGCGUGAGGGAUGAACGGCCUUCGGGUUGUAAACCUCUUUCAGCAGGGAAGAAGCGAAAGUGACGNACUC
rnacentral:rRNA from 1 species